UUCUCAUUCGUCUAUUGAUAUAAGACCUGGUCGUCUGUUCGCUGAAUAUCGAUAUUGAUUGGACUGACUAAGAUUCUUUGUGAUCAGCUCAUUGCUAUGAAUAAUAAAAGUUUUGCAGUGUUAAAUUUGAGCAUUAAAUAUGCAAUGUCAUUUUAAGCCGACCCUGAGGCACGAGCUGUAAACAUAGGAAACACUUGUAAAUCUGCCAUGACCGUAUUUGCAUAAGUAGUUGAGUAGUUGCACUGGGACUAACUUCUCGUUAAUUUUCAUUAAUUUUCAAGUUGGACGCUUUAAGCUUUGCAUCUCCGCUGAUCAUCAAUCGCAUGAGUGUAGGCAGCUUUGACAUACCGCCUAUUACCUUCAUGAGCCUGCCCACAUGAACCUCUUCCUCACUACAAAAAGCCUCAUUCACCUGUUAUCCUUCCACAAAUUGGACUCCCUUUAAAAAGCAUAUUCAGUUUGUGACACAGAGUUUAUGAGAUUUGAAUAAAAACUAACAAUUUCGGGAAAAUUGUCGAUGACAAUAUCUUGAUAGCGUCGAAGAUAUUAAACCGGCUGAGAUGAUGCUUUCGUUUUACUUCAGCUUAAAAUGUUUCUUUGAAAUGCGAAGUGGAAGGAGCAGGUCAGCUUGGAGAAAAGGUGAACUGAAUUUUCAGGAAAAGUGGAGUUUUUAGAUGAAAAGCUGUUUGAGAGACGUCUGUCCACUAGCAGUGAAUAUGAUACCGAAGAAGCUAAUGAUCAGCGUAUUGUUCUUGUUCAACUGAGCUGCUGUCAAAAGGCUACCAUAUUCUCUUCGAUCAAAAUUGUCACGUCUCUCAGAAGUAGAAGAGUGCAUGAAGUAGAAGCAAGCUUGAUACUUGAACUGUUGUUUAAUACUUAAAUAUUGCCCGUGGAAUUGAAAACAUUCAUUUGUUUUAUUUUGUCAUAUGUAUAUUUUCUGGGUCUUAUGGCAAUGAUCUAAUUUUUCACAAGUGAAGGGUGUUAUUUUCAACGAUUUUUGUAUGGUACCAACAUUUUAUUAAAAAUGUUAAUGUAUA